CCUACGGGUGACAGCAGUGGGGAAUAUUCCACAAUGGGCGAAAGCCUGAUGCAGCGACGCCGCGUGAGUGAAGAAGUUUUUCGGAUUGUAAAGCUCUAUCAUUAGGGAAGAAAAUGCCGGUACCUAACUAAGAAGCUCUGGCCAAUUACGUGCCAGCAGCCGCGGUAAUACGUCGUGGGCAAGCGUUAUCCGGUAUUACUGGGUGUAAAGGGAGCGUAGGCGGCCAGACAAGGCAGACGUGAAAGCCCAGGGCUCAACCCUGGGACUGCAUUUGAAACUGCCCGGCUUGAGUGCAGGAGAGGUAAGCGGAAUUCCUAGUGUAGCGGUGAAAUGCGUAGAGAUUAGGAGGAACACCAGUGGCGAAGGCGGCUUUCUGGUCUGUAACUGACGCUGAGGCUCGAAAGCGUGGGGAGCAAACAGGAUUAGAUACCCCUGUAGUC
rnacentral:rRNA from 1 species